UCAUCCCCUCGAGUGAGUGCAAGUCUCCGGGACUGAGUGGCCAAUAUAGUGGGAGUGAGUCCGCGAGCUUGCCAGGGCGGCUAGUGUAGGUAACGUGAGAACGGGUAGAACGGGGCUGGUGGCAGGUCGUAUUUUGAGUGUAAACAGCGUAGUAAACGUCUUUGAAAUCCUGGAAGCAGGAGGUGCUGAAGCGAAGAGCCAAGACACCUGUUUACUGAUUACCAUUUGCGAAUGGCAGCACUACGUGAUUUAUAUUUAAUCUCUAUUUACUGUCCCCCGGGCAUGUUUAAAGAGGCUUAAAUCGUCGCAAACAUGUAGAACUUUGAGCUCACUGAUGUGUUUACUUAACAUCCAGAAUAUUUAUUGUGGAAAAAUCCAGGCCUUGUCGGCAAGUGCCCUAGUGACUUGGCACCUUAAUUUACUAAGAAGUAUGCCAACCUAAACCACCUGCUGGGCCGGUUCUCUUGACUAUACAGCUACCCCAAACCUGUGUUCCAGAUCUUGGUGACAGGACACAAUCGAACCAUCUGCGUCCAUCGCAAGGCAAAGGUCAAGUUGAGAGGAGUGACUUUUGUAAGGCGAGUCUGAAUAUAAGAUAUAUAACCAGUUCUUUCAUCAUCCGAAAUUCUGUCUUUGGAUCAAACUGGACCAGAUGAGAAGGUGUCACAAAGUACCCUGGAGAGGAUGGAAGAUACUGGAUGUGCCAUCUACAGAGGCAAGGAAAUGAGGUUAUGGAACAAAGAGUGUGUAGGAGGGUCCAGGGUGGAGGAACUGAGUCGCCUGCCUAUGUAGGGAGCCCAAACAAACCUGAGUGUGUCCGAGCAGUUGGACCAGCCGGCCACGGGCCCUGUUCGAAUGCGGGCUUAGUAGAGGGGACCAGGACCAGUUGGCACUGAUGACUGAUCCCCAUUUUAAUCACUGAAGCCAAUACAAGGAAUACCUUUUAAUGAUCCAAACUGAAAUAUUUUACCUGGAAAAAAGGCCUGGACAAGUGUACCAACUCAACCCAGGGACAUGUUUGGGGAAUUCUCAAGUCAAAGAAGCCACACAGGGAAAUGCACAUCCCUGGGGGAAAGUGCCACAGGAGCACCAGGCAGCACAGAGGAGAGAACGGCUAAUUCUGCCUGUCAUGGUAAUGGAGGCCACCUUACACAGGAAAUGACAUUGAGGCUGGGUCUUGAAGUUUCAGCCUGAUGAUAAGGGCGCUCCAGGCAUGGAGAGCCACCUGGGCAAAGCUGUGAACGUUCAUAGAGGUGGCUGGACUUGAAGGGAGGGCGAAGGUGAAAAACUGAAGGUCAGACUAGGAUUAGGCCAGACCGAUAAUUCCCAGAUUGAGAAAAAUCUAGUAUUGUUGUAAGGCAUCGCUUUACUUAAAAUAUUUACGUAAAUUUCCCCCAGGACUCAGGUGGGGUGUGGCCCUCAGGUGACUAUCCGAGCCAAUGAAUAGACAGACAUAAUCCCCCAAACCACAUUUUAGAUAUUGACAGGUAAUAGGUAAGAAGUUCUAUUUUUUAUUUUUGAAAAUAAUCCUGGAAUUCUUAUUAAUUGCCACUUUUUAUAUAACACAGGACAUACAAGUACUUUUAAAAAUUGAACAUGUUUCAAAUCUGUUACAGGACUAGUCAUUUUAUAGGAACAAUGUAUGCCAUCAAAAUCAUAUUUAUUAAUGUGUUAAUAACUAUCUGUUGCUCUGUUAAGACUUUUAUCAUUGGGCUCGUUAAGUAUUAGGUUGUUGGAAAAGUCAUAACGUAUUUUUUCUAUGUUUUCAUUGCAAAAAUGCGUCAUGACUUUUCCGGCAACCCAAUAUAUGUGAAGAGCAAGAUAAUUGUGUUGACAAUGAAAUAUAUGAAUGAAUAAAGAAAACAUUGUUAAUGUUGUAUGGAUGACUAUUACAUUCUGA